AAACCAGCACCUUAAGUGGUCAGGAGGAUUAUUGGGCCUAAAGCAUCCGUAGCCUGCUGCAUAAGUUUUCGGUUAAAUCCAUUAGCUCAACUAAUGGGCCGCCGAAAAUACUGUAGAACUAGGGAGUGGGAGAGGUAGACGGUAUUCGGUAGGAAGGGGUAAAAUCCUUUGAUCUAUUGAGGACCACCUGUGGCGAAGGCGGUCUACCAGAACACGUUCGACGGUGAGGGAUGAAAGCUGGGGGAGCAAACCGGAUUAGAAACCCGGGUAGUCC
rnacentral:rRNA from 1 species